rnacentral:rRNA from 1 species
UACGUAGGGCGCAAGCGUUAUCCGGAAUUAUUGGGCGUAAAGAGCUCGUAGGCGGUUUGUCGCGUCUGCCGUGAAAGUCCGGGGCUCAACUCCGGAUCUGCGGUGGGUACGGGCAGACUAGAGUGAUGUAGGGGAGACUGGAAUUCCUGGAUGUAGCGGUGAAAUGACGCAGAUAUCAGGAGGAACACCGAUGGCGAAGGCAGGUCUCUGGGCAUUAACUGACGCUGAGGAGCGAAAGCAUGGGGAGCGAACAGG